AUUGAACGCUGGCGGCAUGCUUUACACAUGCAAGUCGAACGGCAGCGCGGGCUUCGGCCUGGCGGCGAGUGGCGAACGGGUGAGUAAUGCAUCGGAACGUGCCCAGUAGUGGGGGAUAGCCCGGCGAAAGCCGGAUUAAUACCGCAUACGACCUGAGGGUGAAAGCGGGGGACCGAAAGGCCUCGCGCUAUUGGAGCGGCCGAUGUCGGAUUAGCUAGUUGGUGGGGUAAAGGCUUACCAAGGCGACGAUCCGUAGCUGGUCUGAGAGGACGACCAGCCACACUGGGACUGAGACACGGCCAAGACUCCUACGGGAGGCAGCAGUGGGGAAUUUUGGACAAUGGGGGCAAACCUGAUCCAGCCAUGCCGCGUGCGGGAAGAAGGCCUUCGGGUUGUAAACCGCUUUUGUUCGGGAAGAAAUCCUCUGGGCUAAUACCCCGGGGGGAUGACGGUACCGGAAGAAUAAGCACCGGCUAACUACGUG
rnacentral:rRNA from 1 species